rnacentral:rRNA from 1 species
GACGAACCGUCCAAACGUUGUUCGGAAUCACUGGGCUUAAAGGGCGCGUAGGCGGGUCUCCAAGUCGAGUGUGAAAGCCCCGGGCUCAACCUGGGAGGUGCGCUCGCGACUGGUUUGCUGGAGUUCGGGAGAGGAGCGUGGAAUUCCCAGUGUAGAGGUGAAAUUCGUAGAUAUUGGGAAGAACACCGGUGGCGAAGGCGGCGCUCUGGACCGAGACUGACGCUGAGGCGCGAAAGCGUGGGGAGCAAACAGG